rnacentral:rRNA from 1 species
UACGUAGGGUGCGAGCGUUAAUCGGAAUUACUGGGCGUAAAGCGUGCGCAGGCGGUUUUGUAAGCCAGAUGUGAAAUCCCCGGGCUAACCUGGGAAUGGCAUUUGGGACUGCAAGGCUUGAGUGCGGCAGAGGAGACUGGAAUUCCUGGUGUAGCAGUGAAAUGCGUAGAUAUCAGGAGGAACACCGAUGGCGAAGGCAGGUCUCUGGGCUGACACUGACGCUCAUGCACGAAGCGUGGGGAGCAAACAG